CUUCUAUUGAAGGUCAGAAGCCUCCUAGAUCUUAUAGACAAGAGGGUUAGGACAUUUUUUCCCCAAUCAGUUUAUCUUACUAUCAAAGGUUAUAAUCAGGGUUAGUCCAAGUUGUUCCCUUGCCUGAAGCAGAGCAACAAAUGGAUUCUUAAUCAUAGCAGGGUAGUUCC